UACAGAGGCCUCGAGCGUUAGGCGGAAUCACUGGGCUUAAAGCGUGUGUAGGCGGACUUCUAAGUACCUUGUGAAAUCCCACGGCUUACCCGUGGAACGGCUGGGUAUACUGGGAGUCUUUGAGCCACCUAGGGGCGAGUGGAACAAAUGGUGGAGCGGUGAAAUGCGUAGAUAUCAUUUGGAACGCCAAUGGUGAAAACAACUCGCUGGGGGUGUGCUGACGCUGAGACACGAAAGCCAGGGGAGCAAACGGG
rnacentral:rRNA from 1 species